CCCCACGCCCGACGCCCGACGCCCGACGCCCGACGCCCGGCUUGGUUUCCUGGUUGUCCGGUCCGGGAAUAUAACAAGAUUCCUUCAGAAAGCUUGGACUUUUGGAAAAGAAGGGCCAGGAAAGGAAGAUGUGAAUAUCUCCUGUUCUCUAUCUUAAAAUCCUGAAGCAAGAAAACACAAAGACUGGCUACCUGCUUAAAAGAGAGAGCGAAAGAGAGGCAGAGACACAGACAGAGAGAGAAGCAGGCUCCAUGCAGGGAGCCCGACGUGGGACUCGAUCCCAGGUCUCCAGGAUCACACCCCAGGCUGCA